rnacentral:rRNA from 1 species
GGGGUAGAGCACUGUCUCGGCUAGGGGGUCAUCCCGACUUACCAAACCGACGCAAACUCCAAAUACCAAGAAGUGUUAGCACGGGAGACAGACUGCGGGUGCUAACGUCCGUAGUCGAAAGGGAAACAACCCAGACCGCCAGCUAAGGUCCCAAAUUAUGAUUAAGUGGGAAACGAUGUGGGAAGGCUUAAACAGCUAGGAGGUUGGCUUAGAAGCAGCCAUCCUUUAAAGAUAGCGUAACAGCUCACUAGUCGAGUCGGCCCGCGCGGAAGAUAUAACGGGGCUAAAUCAUAAACCGAAGCUGCGGAUAGAUAUUUAUAUCUAUGGUAGAGGAGCAUUCUGUAAGCCGUCGAAGAAGGACUGAGAGGUUCUUUGGAGGUAUCAGAAGAGAGAAUGCUGACAUGAGUAACGAGAGAUAGGUGAAAACCCUAUCCGCCGAAUGACCAAGGUUUCCUGUCCAACGCUAAUCGGGACAGGGUAAGUCGGCCCCUAAGGCGAGGGCGAAGGCCGUAGUCGAUGGAAAACAGGUUAACAUUCCUGUACUUCCUAUUACUGCGAUGGAGUGACGGAGAAGGCUAGAUCAGCAGGGCGAUGGUUGUCCCUGUUUAAGGCUGUAGACUUGUAUUUUAGGUAAAUCCGGAAUACUUUAAGUCGAGAUCUGAUGACGAUUGAUUUUUUAAAUCAAGAAGUGAUUGAUGCCACGCUUCCAGGAAAAACUUCUAAGCAUAAGUAGUAGGGAACCGUACUGCAAACCGACACAGGUGGUCAGGUAGAGAAUACUAAGGCGCAUGAGAGAACUUGGGUUAAGGAACUAGGCAAAAUGGUACCGUAACUUCGGGAGAAGGUACGCCUCUAUUACGUGAAAGAACUUGCUUCUCGAGCGGAAAGAGGUCGAAGAUACCAGAUGGCUGCGACUGUUUACUAAAAACAUAGCACUCUGCAAACACUAAUGUGGAAGUAUAGGGUGUGACGCCUGCCCGGUGCCGGAAGGUUAAUUGAUCAGGUUAGUCCUCGGACGAAGCUUGUGAUCGAAGCCCCGGUGAACGGCGGCCGUAACUAUAACGGUCCUAAGGUAGCGAAAUUCCUUGUCGGGUAAGUUCCGACCUGCACGAAUGGCGUAACGAUGGCCACACUGUCUCGACCCAGGACUCAGUGAAAUUGAAUUUGCGGUGAAGAUGCCGUAUACGCGCGGCUAGACGGAAAGACCCCGUGCACCUUUACUAUAGCUUCACACUGGACUUUGAAUUUAUAUGUGUAGGAGUAGGUGGGAGACUUUGAAACC